rnacentral:lncRNA from 1 species
AAGCCCUGUUGUUGAUCUCAAUGAAGAAUCAAAAGUUCCUGAGGGAGAUGCAUCCAUUGAUGACGAAGAUGAAUUUGAAGAAAUUAAGUCGCAGAAGGAGAACGAGGUGGAUCCGGAACCAGUUCCUGAGGGAGCUGCAUCCAUAGAUGACGAAGAUGAAUUUGAAGAAAUUAAGUCGCAGAAGGAGAACGAGGUGGAUCCGGAACCAGUUCCUGAGGGAGCUGCAUCCAUAGAUGAUGAAGAUGAAUUUGAAGAAAGUAACUCGCAGAAGGAGAACGAGGUGGAUCCGGAACCAGUUCCUAUACCACUAAAGAUGGUCCGCAUGGCUAAUCUUUGUGUUGUGGGAGGCCAUGCAGUAAAUGGAGUUGCAGAGAUUCAUAGUGAAAUAAUCA